AUAAAGUGAAUUGUAGUAUAAUGAUUAGAUUUUACAUGUAGUUCAAAUGUGAAGUUUAAAAAUGUUGGCGGUGUUUUAAAUAAAUUCUGAGAAUCUUGCAUAAUUAAAAUGAUAUUACACAAAUAAUCUUAUCUUGUUAAAGUUCAUUAGUUUAGAUUUAUUUAUUGCUGUUGUAAUUUAUUUAUUAAGAUAAAGGUAUUAAUAAGUGGAAAUAUUUUAAAAUAUAAGAAAUUCAAGUCAUGAUGUAGUAAUAAUAAGGUUUGUGUGAGUUGCAGUUUUAUAGAAAUAAAAAGAAAUUAGUUAAAUAAAUUGAAAUAUUUAUGAAAAUUAGGAUUAGGAUGUAAGAAAAAAGUAAUUAGUUUUUUUGAUAAAUUUUAUAAACAUGU
rnacentral:rRNA from 1 species